rnacentral:rRNA from 1 species
AACGAACGCUGGCGGCAGCCCUAACACAUGCAAGUCGAGCGCGCCUUCGGGUGAGCGGCGGACGGGUUAGUAACGCGUGGGAACGUACCCUUCUCUACGGAAUAGCCUUUGGAAACGAAGAGUAAUACCGUAUACGCCCUUUGGGGGAAAGAUUUAUCGGAGAAGGAUCGGCCCGCGUUAGAUUAGAUAGUUGGUGGGGUAACGGCCUACCAAGUCUACGAUCUAUAGCUGGUUUUAGAGGAUGAUCAGCAACACUGGGACUGAGACACGGCCCAGACUCCUACGGGAGGCAGCAGUGGGGAAUCUUAGACAAUGGGGGCAACCCUGAUCUAGCCAUGCCGCGUGAGUGAUGAAGGCCUUAGGGUCGUAAAGCUCUUUCGCCUGUGAUGAUAAUGACAGUAGCAGGUAAAGAAACCCCGGCUAACUCCGUG